GACGAACGCUGGCGGCGUGCUUAACACAUGCAAGUCGAACGGAAAGGCCCUGCUUUUGUGGGGUGCUCGAGUGGCGAACGGGUGAGUAACAAGUGAGUAACCUGCCCUUGACUUUGGGAUAACUUCAGGUAACUGGGGCUAAUACCGGAUAGGAGCUCCUGCUGCAUGGUGGGGGUUGGAAAGUUUCGGCGGUUGGGGAUGGACUCGCGGCUUAUCAGCUUGUUGGUGGGGUAGUGGCUUACCAAGGCUUUGACGGGUAGCCGGCCUGGGAGGGUGACCGGCAAAAUUGGGACUGAGAUACGGCCCGGACUCCAACGGGAGGAAGCAGUGGGAAAUAUGGCACAAUGGGCGGAAGCCUGAUGCAGCAACGCCGGGUGCGGGAUGACGGCUUUCGGGUUGUAAACCGCUUUCGCCUGUGACGAAGCGUGAGUGACGGUAAUGGGUAAAGAAGCACCGGCUAACUACGUG
rnacentral:rRNA from 1 species